rnacentral:rRNA from 1 species
GACGAACCGUGCAAACGUUGUUCGGAUUCACUGGGCUUAAAGGGCGCGUAGGCGGGCCAUCAAGUCAGGGGUGAAAUCUUUCGGCUCAACCGGAAAAGUGCCUUUGAUACUGGUGGUCUCGAGGGAGGUAGGGGCAUGCGGAACUUCCGGUGGAGCGGUGAAAUGCGUUGAUAUCGACCGGAACUCCGGUGGCGAAGGCGAGGUGCUGGACCCUUUCUGACGCUGAGGCGCGAAAGCCAGGGGAGCAAACGGG